GCAUAUGCCCUUGACUGGAAUCAACCUGGACACUUCAACCCGCAGGCCAACGCUUUAUCCACUGAGCCAAACUGGCUAGGACGGUACCUCGUUUUCAAUGGUGGUUGCAAGAGCAGGCUCCUGGCAUAGAAAUGGCAUCCUUGGUCCGGUGUAAACCAUUGAGGGAUUUCUCCUGCUGUUCAGCCGGACAUCAGUGGUGCUGAUGGCAUAAAGUACAGUUCCUGGAAGCUUAGCUUCUCCAGUCUCCCAGCAGUAUGUGGGCUACUCAGGAUCCUUUUAUUAAUGCCCCUUACCCUUUAAUCAGCCAGAAUUGGCUUCCAUUUCUUGAAAGAACUUGGAUUAAUCAGAGUAUGUAAUUAUGUGCCUGUUAAUCACAGAUUCACAUGUUAGAUGCUAUAAUAGAAGUGAGCUGUGAGAAUGUACAAGACAGACAUGUAACUCAGCCUUUGUGGUCUAGAGAAGAAUUCCACAGAUAUCUGAGUUGAGUUUGAUAAGAUGAUUGUGGAUUACCUAGGCACAGAGUCUCAGAAGGGCACUCCAGGCUGAGAAACAGUGAUGCUCAAAACUACACGAUAUUUUCAAGUUGGGAAUGGGCCGAGACAAGUGGUCAGAUAGCCAAGUUGACCAAGAAGCUCCCUGAGGACUUUAUAUACCAUGCUCAAAAUUAUUUCCUUGACUAGUAGCAGGGCUAGAGCCCAGGCCUCUCAAUGUAUUGAUAUAUACUCUGAGGAUAAGGCAGAUGCCUGAAACCACCUGGGUAUGGUUUUAGGUGCCAUCAGCAGGGUGUUACCCUGUGAAUUGCUAUGAAGAGAAGAAUCAAGACUUUACAGAGGAAUGAGAG